AGGACCGGGUGUGUGGCUGGCUGAGGGAGCCGGAAUAGAAGAAGGAGGGCGUAGCAAGGAGGAAAGAAAAAGGGGUAGAGAUUAGGGAGCGCCCUGCGCUGGUACGUGCGUGACGAAACCUGGUGGUGGAGGAGGAGGGGUAGGCGGGUGGGCCAAAACGACCUUGGUCGCUCUUAAAAACGAUGGUGGCUGGCUCCGUCCUCGACCAUGGUUGUGUACAAAGACGAUGUUGGCCACUUCGGGUUCGACCUUGGUCAUGUCGAAAAACGAUGUUGGCCGCCCUGGGACUCGACCCUGGUCGUUCACAAAAACGAUGUAGCUGACCCCUCAAAGAUGCCGGCGCUGCCAAUAGAAAUCUCGAUGACGUACCUAGGCAUGUACCAGGAAUGAGUGAGGAUGCCUUAGGUCCCUCGGCGACCAAUAACCCACGUUGGUUACCCUCUACCAUCGUGCCCAAUAUAAGUUGGCUAAACCUACUGCCUGCGAAUUUUCCUAUCCUCAAAUCCAGAGAUCAGGACAAUGGUAGUAGCCAACAUUAGAACUCCAGAAAAUACCGAAACAGUAGGGCAAGGAAAAACGCUCGACAUUAUGAAACCUAUGAUAAACAAAAAGCUCUGAAAAUUAUUAUACCUACGUACGUAGUAAGUCUACGUCUCCGGCCCCCGUGCGGAAGAAAAGGUUUU
rnacentral:rRNA from 1 species